UAUAACUCAACAUUAGAUCAAUCUGAUUAAAAUAUUGACAGAGGAUUGAAAAGGAGACUUUCCAAGGAAGACAUGCAAACGGUUAACAGAUUCAUUUGAUAAGAAUUGCCAACUUGUAUGGCUAGUCAAGGCUAUGGUUUUUCCUGUGGUCAUGUAUGGAUGUGAGAGUUGGACUGUGAAGAAGGCUGAGCACCGAAGAAUUGAUGCUUUUGAACUGUGGUAUUGGAGAAGACUCUUGAGAGUCCCUUGGACUGCAAGGAGAUCCAACCAGUCCAUUCUGAAGGAGAUCAACCCUGGGAUUUCUUUGGAAGGAAUGAUGCUAAAGCUGAAGCUCCAGUACUUGGGCUACCUCAUGCGAAGAGUUGACUCAUUGGAAAAGACUCUGAUGCUGGGAGGGAUUGGGGGCAGGAGGAGAAGGGGGCGACAGACGAUGAGAUGGCUGGAUGGCAUCACUGACUCGAUGGACGUGAGUCUGAGUGAACUCCGGGAGUUGGUGAUGGACAGGGAGGUCUGGCAUGCUGUGAUUCAUGGGAUCGCAAAGAGUUGGAUAUGACUGAGCGACUGAACUGAACUGAACUGAUGGCUAUCAAAGAAUCUAAAGACAUGGUUCCAGGUGUUAUCCACAUUUUCCACAUGCAGCUCUAUACCAGAGAGUCACAUCACCUGAGUUCUCUUGCUCUCUGCUUCUCAUGGGGUUCAGCAGUGGGGAUCAUUGGCCAGCAACAUAAGUGAGAAAGACAGAGGUUGGGAUAUUCUUUCCCAUUUCUUCUUCUUCAGCGUGAUGAUUUCAGUAGCUCCAUUCUCUGUGGACACAGUUCCUGUCCAGUGGUUCCUCUUCCAAGAUGACAGUCUUUCGGGGUUCCAGAAGAACAAUUUCCUCCUCCCCGAACCCUUUGGCAGAGGGGUAGAAGCCCUCCUGGUAUUGCUCUUCCCUCGGUGCUUCUCCAUCCUGGUGGUUCACUUAACUCUCCACAGCUCUCUAAGCCAUCCCUUCAGUAAAUUCCCCUUUUAACCACUUCAAAGGUAACCCCUCUUUCCUGCUGAGACUCAAGAGAAUGCCCCCCAAAUAAUUUUAUAUCCAGGGGAUUGGUUUCCAAUGGUAACAUGAUGAGAGAGAGAAAGCUGUUUGAGCUAUAUCCGAUGCACUGGAAUAAUGGAAUUCUGUUUCCAAGCAACUUGUAGACAAACUCUUCCACACUUCCAGAAUAUAUAUGCAAUCGAGUUGAUUAUUCAGAAAGUUAAUGACUUGACUGGAAAAAAUACAACCCUGUUUUUUGUUUUCUUUGCAUACAAUAUAAAUAAAGUGACUGCUAGUUUACAGGGAACAAACUAUGGCCUGACAAAACCAAACCUUUAUUUUCCGCAAAUAAAGUUUUGCUACAGUGCAGCAACACCUGUUUCUUUUGCAUAGUCUAUAAGUGCUUUGUGCAGCCAUGGCAGAGGGGGUACUUGCA
ensembl:lncRNA